AAGACCUUCAAUCAGGUGGGAUUACCCGCUGAACUUAAGCAUAUCAAUAAGCGGAGGAAAAGAAACUAACAAGGAUUCCCCUAGUAACGGCGAGUGAAGAGGGAAAAGCCCAAAUUUGUAAUCUGGCUCUUUUAGAGUCCGAGUUGUAAUUUUGAGAACUGUUUUCAGUGCUGGACCAUGUUUAAGUCUGUUGAAAAACAGCAUCAUUGAGGGUGAUAAUCCCGUUCAUGAUAUGGACUACCAGUACUUUAUGAUACAGUCUCUAAGAGUCGAGUUGUUUGGGAAUGCAGCUCAAAGUGGGUGGUAAAUUCCAUCUAAGGCUAAAUAUAGGUGAGAGACCGAUAGCAAACAAGUACCGUGAGGGAAAGAUGAAAAGAACUUUGGAAAGAGAGUUAACAGUACGUGAAAUUGCUGAAAGGGAAACAAUUGAAGUUAGCCUUGUUAUUGUCAGUUCAGCUCUUUUAGAGUGUAUUCUGAUGAUUAACGACCAACAUCAGUCUUUGAGUGCUGGAUAAGGGUUUUGGAAAUGUAGCAGUCUCGGCUGUGUUAUAGUCCAUUACUUUGAUACAGUGCUUGGGAUUGAGGAUCGCAGUAAGCCAUUUUAUGGUGGACCAAAUUUUUGGUCUUCUUACUGAGGAUGUUGGUGAAAUAGCUUUAAAUG
rnacentral:rRNA from 1 species